rnacentral:rRNA from 1 species
AUUGAACGCUGGCGGCAGGCCUAACACAUGCAAGUCGAACGGUAACAGGAAACAGCUUGCUGUUUCGCUGACGAGUGGCGGACGGGUGAGUAAUGUCUGGGAAACUGCCUGAUGGAGGGGGAUAACUACUGGAAACGGUAGCUAAUACCGCAUAACGUCGCAAGACCAAAGAGGGGGACCUUCGGGCCUCUUGCCAUCAGAUGUGCCCAGAUGGGAUUAGCUAGUAGGUGGGGUAACGGCUCACCUAGGCGACGAUCCCUAGCUGGUCUGAGAGGAUGACCAGCCACACUGGAACUGAGACACGGUCCAGACUCCUACGGGAGGCAGCAGUGGGGAAUAUUGCACAAUGGGCGCAAGCCUGAUGCAGCCAUGCCGCGUGUAUGAAGAAGGCCUUCGGGUUGUAAAGUACUUUCAGCGGGGAGGAAGGGAGUAAAGUUAAUACCUUUGCUCAUUGACGUUACCCGCAGAAGAAGCACCGGCUAACUCCGUGCCAGCAGCCGCGGUAAUACGGAAGGUGCAAGCGUUAAUCGGAAUUACUGGGCGUAAAGCGCACGCAGGCGGUUUGUUAAGUCAGAUGUGAAAUCCCCGGGCUCAACCUGGGAACUGCAUCUGAUACUGGCAAGCUUGAGUCUCGUAGAGGGGGGUAGAAUUCCAGGUGUAGCGGUGAAAUGCGUAGAGAUCUGGAGGAAUACCGGUGGCGAAGGCGGCCCCCUGGACGAAGACUGACGCUCAGGUGCGAAAGCGUGGGGAGCAAACAGGAUUAGAUACCCUGGUAGUCCACGCCGUAAACGAUGUCGACUUGGAGGUUGUGCCCUUGAGGCGUGGCUUCCGGAGCUAACGCGUUAAGUCGACCGCCUGGGGAGUACGGCCGCAAGGUUAAAACUCAAAUGAAUUGACGGGGGCCCGCACAAGCGGUGGAGCAUGUGGUUUAAUUCGAUGCAACGCGAAGAACCUUACCUGGUCUUGACAUCCACGGAAGUUUUCAGAGAUGAGAAUGUGCCUUCGGGAACCGUGAGACAGGUGCUGCAUGGCUGUCGUCAGCUCGUGUUGUGAAAUGCUGGGUUAAGUCCCGCAACGAGCGCAACCCUUAUCCUUUGUUGCCAGCGGUCCGGCCGGGAACUCAAAGGAGACUGCCAGUGAUAAACUGGAGGAAGGUGGGGAUGACGUCAAGUCAUCAUGGCCCUUACGACCAGGGCUACACACGUGCUACAAUGGCGCAUACAAAGAGAAGCGACCUCGCGAGAGCAAGCGGACCUCAUAAAGUGCGUCGUAGUCCGGAUUGGAGUCUGCAACUCGACUCCAUGAAGUCGGAAUCGCUAGUAAUCGUGGAUCAGAAUGCCACGGUGAAUACGUUCCCGGGCCU